UUGUUUCGCCCUGUUUACCAAAAACAUCGCCCCUAGAAUUUAAGCUUAAGGGUUCUGCCUGCCCGGUGACUUUUAGUUAAACGGCUGCAGUAUUACUGACUGUGCAAAGGUAGCAUAAUCAUUCGCCUGUUAAUUGCAGGCUAGUAUCAACGGCUAGACGAUGGAAAAGCUGUCUCUCUCUACUUCUGCUCCGAAUUUAGUAUUAAGGUGAAGAAACCUUAAUUUAAUAAUGGGACGAGAAGACCCUAUAGAGCUUUACUCUUAAUCAUAUAAAUUAUAUGUGUAUAGAGUUUGAUUGGGGCAAUCACCUUUUACUUAAAACAAAGGUUUUACUAAAAUUUUGAACUUUUUAAAGGACCCAGAAUAUUUUGAUAAAAAGAAUAAGUUACCUUAGGGAUAACAGCGUAAUUCUUUUGAGAGUAC
rnacentral:rRNA from 1 species